rnacentral:rRNA from 1 species
GUCACUUUGUCUUUAUGGCAAAUGUGAGAUGCAGUGUAUGGAAUGUCAAAUUUCUAGUAUGAGAAAUUAACGAUUUAAGUCCUUCUUAAAUGAGGCCAUUUACCCAUAGAGGGUGCCAGGCCCGUAUAACGUUAAUGAUUACUAGAUGGCAUUUCCAAAGAGUCGUGUUGCUUGAUAGUGCAGCACUAAGUGGGUGGUAAACUCCAUCUAAAACUAAAUAUAACCAUGAGACCGAUAGUAAACAAGUACCGUGAGGGAAAGUUGAAAAGAACUCUGAAUAGAGAGUUAAAUAGUACGUGAAACUGCUUAGAGGUUAAGCCCGAUGAACCUGAAUAUCCAUUAUAGAAAAUUCAUCAUUAUGAUUUUAAUAUUAAUAAUAUUAUAAUAAUGGUGUGCAUUUUUUCUAUAACGGACAUUGUAAUCUAUUAACAUAAGUAUAUUUAUCAUAAGAUCAAUGAUGCGUAAGUUUAUUCAAAUUAUUUUGCUUGCAAUUUAACAUAGAAUAAAUGCUCUUGAUUUGAUAAAGUGUUGAUAGAUUUAUUGUAUAUAGUGCUUAAAUAUUGAUAUUUUAUAAUAGCAUAUUAAUCAUUGAUUUUUAUGUUUAUUAUAUGCACUUAUAUGAUUAACAAUGCGAAAGAUUCAGGAUACCUUCGGGACCCGUCUUGAAACACGGACCAAGGAGUCUAACAUAUUUGCAAGUUAUUGGGUAUCAAAACCUAAUAGCGAAAUUAACAUGACUUUUUAUGGGAUUAGUUUUUAGAUUAUUUAUAGUCUAUUAAUUCAAUCCCGGGGCGUUCUAUAUAGUUAUGUAUAAUAAUAUUUAUAUUAUUUAUAUCUCUAACUAGAGCGUACCUUGAGCAUAUAUGCUGUGACCCGAAAGAUGGUGAACUAUACUUGAUCAGGUUGAAGUCAGGGGAAACCCUGAUGGAAGACCGAAACAGUUCUGACGUGCAAAUCGAUUGUCAGAAUUGAGUAUAGGGGC